GUAGGGUGCAAGCGUUAAUCGGAAUUACUGGGCGUAAAGCGUGCGCAGGCGGUUUUGUAAGUCUGUCGUGAAAGCCCCGGGCUUAACCUGGGAAUUGCGAUGGAGACUGCAAGGCUUGAAUCUGGCAGAGGGGGGUAGAAUUCCACGUGUAGCAGUGAAAUGCGUAGAGAUGUGGAGGAACACCGAUGGCGAAGGCAGCCCCCUGGGUCAAGAUUGACGCUCAUGCACGAAAGCGUGGGGGAGCAAACAGGAUUAGAUACCCUGGUAGUCCACGCCCUAAACGAUGUCUACUAGUUGUCGGGUCUUAAUUGACUUGGUAACGCAGCUAACGCGUGAAGUAGACCGCCUGGGGAGUACGGUCGCAAGAUUA
rnacentral:rRNA from 1 species